UUUAGCCAACCUGUAGUGAAUGGUAGUGCCGUUUACGAGAGCUUUUGCUAUGAUGAUUUAUAAUGAUUUAUAUUGAAGACAAUCUUUCCCUAUUAUGGUUUUCUCAAAUUAAAUAUUUGUUUAAAAGAUAAAGACAUAAAACACGGAAUUUUUUACGAGUCUUAUUGUUUUAUUUGUAAUUAUUUUUUUUUUACAUUUUUUUUUUCGAAAGGAGCAAAAUCACAAAGACUUCAUGUAAGACACAAAAAAAAUAAAAAAAUAAACUAAUAUUUUAUUUUGCAGAUUUCUAGAACUUGAAAACUAUUCCGUGGCACAUUAUCGCGUAUUAGAACUGUACAAGAGGAUAUUAUUAAGUCAUGUACAGUUAUUUUGUACUGUCAAAAACUUUUUCUGGUUGCUCAAGGAUUGGACAGCAUUUGAAUUAGAUAUGUCAUCUAACCUAUGUUUAACCUAUUUAAAAAGGUCUAUAUUUAUUUACUUGAAGUUACUCUGCAUACUUUUUUUAACGGCGAGAUGUUUUUCUGAUAACAUGUAUCAGUUAAAUCUAAUUUUAAAUGACAUUGUUACGGUAUUCAUUUCCUUGAUGUAAAGCUACAUACCAUUAGUUUCAGACAUUAUCAAGACGUUGUUUAUUCUUCUAGCUUUAUUUUCAAAUUCUGGGAUAGUCUUUCCUAGGGAUUUUCUACAUGGAGGCCGAUCCAUAAAUAGCUAACUUUUUGGAGUAUCCGGUGUACAGGAUAAAAUGUUGAUGAGCUAUGUGGUUUUUUUUUUUUUUUGUUA